rnacentral:rRNA from 1 species
CCUACGGGUGGCUGCAGUGGGGAAUAUUGCACAAUGGGCGCAAGCCUGAUGCAGCCAUGCCGCGUGUGUGAAGAAGGCCUUCGGGUUGUAAAGCACUUUCAGCGGGGAGGAAGGCGGUGAGGUUAAUAACCUCAUCGAUUGACGUUACCCGCAGAAGAAGCACCGGCUAACUCCGUGCCAGCAGCCGCGGUAAUACGGAGGGUGCAAGCGUUAAUCGGAAUUACUGGGCGUAAAGCGCACGCAGGCGGUCGGUCAAGUCGGAUGUGAAAUCCCCGGGCUCAACCUGGAAACUGCAUUCGAAACUGGCAGGGUAGUGUCUUGUAGAGGGGGGUAGAAUUCCAGGUGUAGCGGUGAAAUGCGUAAAGAUCUGGAGGAAUACCGGUGGCGAAGGCGGCCCCCUGGACAAAGACUGACGCUCAGGUGCGAAAGCGUGGGGAGCAAACAGGAUUAGAUACCCGGGUAGUC